rnacentral:rRNA from 1 species
AUGCAGGCGCAGAUCGAGCGGGUGCUGCCGCUCUCCAGGGCCCUCGCCGCCGUGCACCGGCAAGUGCAGGUACCUGCCUGCCCGUUCGUUUCUUCCUCUCAACGCGAGACUGGAAUGCUUUGGCUAUUGUGGCUGCGUGCGUUUGGUCCAAUAGCAUCUGUGUAUGUGUUGCGUUGUGUGCGUGUGUGCUCUGCGUAUGGAGUGGAUCCAGCAGCGGCCGCGUCCUGCAUCGAAGAUGCGGCUAGGAAUCAGAGAGAUGGGAGAAAGGAGGAAGGGACCGGGGAUGGGCUCAGCGAUGCGGCGACGCUUGCGGAGGCUGGCUGGCGGCUGAGUCACACGGCAAUGGUGGUGCGUGUGUGGCAUCCUCCCUGGUGGGGCGAGCAGGAAGGAGGAGGUGCACGGGAGGCGUAG